CCUACGGGAGGCUGCAGUGGGGAAUAUUGGACAAUGGGGGGAACCCUGAUCCAGCCAUGCCGCGUGUGUGAAGAAGGCCCUCGGGUUGUAAAGCACUUUCAGUGAGGAAGAACGCCUGGUGGUUAAUACCCAUCAGGAAAGACAUCACUCACAGAAGAAGCACCGGCUAACUCCGUGCCAGCAGCCGCGGUAAUACGGAGGGUGCGAGCGUUAAUCGGAAUUACUGGGCGUAAAGCGCGCGUAGGUGGCUUGAUAAGCCGGUUGUGAAAGCCCCGGGCUCAACCUGGGAACGGCAUCCGGAACUGUCAAGCUAGAGUGCAGGAGAGGAAGGUAGAAUUCCCGGUGUAGCGGUGAAAUGCGUAGAGAUCGGGAGGAAUACCAGUGGCGAAGGCGGCCUUCUGGACUGACACUGACACUGAGGUGCGAAAGCGUGGGUAGCAAACAGGAUUAGAUACCCGGGUAGUC
rnacentral:rRNA from 1 species